rnacentral:lncRNA from 1 species
GCUUCAGAAAACCUGAGAGCCUCGACAACGGAUUCCAGAACAGACACAAGCUGAGGAGAGAAAGCCUGAGGAAACAGAGGAGACACCCCUGUAUUUACAACAUUCCUGUUUUCUCCAGUGUUAUCUGUGAAGACGGAAUGGCGUGUCCCCUCUACACAAUAGGUAUCAUGUAGCCCAGGAUGGCCUCAGACUUUCUAUAGAGUCAAGGAUAACCCUGAACUCCUGAUGUGGACCAUCUCCCUGUGAUGUGGGGCUGUGGAUUGAAUCCAGCUUCCUGCAUGCAAGGCAAGCACUCUGCUGAGUCCCAUCCCAGCUCUCUCUUUGCCUCACCAAAACCAGACUGCAUGUUGGUGAAGCCAACACACGGCUAGAACGUUCCAUCAAAACCCUGCUUUUUUACCCAGAACAGCAAGAGAAGGGUACCCUCAGAGACAGGACUCUUAUCGGUAACUUCUGUGUGCCCGCUAAAUACUACAGAAAACUCCAACAACUUCACGUCCGUGUGUG